GCAAAAAAUUCACCUGCAAAAAUUCACCUGCAAAAAAUUCACCUGCAAAAAUUCACCUGCAAAAAUUCAACUGCAAAAAUUCACCUGCAAAAGUGAUGACCUUAAAUGACCCAAGCCAGAGCAAUCAGCACUAGAUCGAGUCGAGCGGCUCUCAGCCAAUUAAAUUACGCUGUUUGAUCACAUGACAUGUUAGCCGGCAGUGUCUUCUGAAAAGAGAGCUGUUUAGAGAGGCAGUUUUGAAUUCAGGAGCGGCAUGAUGGCAGCGGCAAACCCUGGCGGUUCUCCGGGUUCGUGGCAACCACGGAUGGGAAAAUGUGGAGGUUGCACGGCUGAUGUUUACUGUUCGUGGCACAGGAAGAGGCAGUUUCAUUUCAGGAAUGAGUGUGCACAAUCAAAGAAUAGAGCGACUGUGGAGAGACCUCUGGGUGGCCGUUACAUGCAUUUACUACGAUGUUCUUCACAACCCUGAGGAAGAAGGCCUUCUUGACAUUUCAAAUGCUGCACACCUCUUUUGCUGCCAUUACAUCUUUCUUCCUCGACUAGAGGAUAAUUUUAAUACAUUUUGCAGUGGAUGGGACAACCAUCCACUGCGAACAGAAAACACCAUGAGUCCCCCAACCAGCUGUGGGAGUUGGGUCACAGAUAUUACCCUGUUCCUGUUCCAGAAAACACACAGCUUAUCACACAUUUGAUUUCCAUGUGUGACGACUGCAAGUGUCCAGAGUGAGGACAGACUGAGGGACCCACUGCUGCACAUCAUCUGUGAGGCUUUGCACCCCUGAUGAUCCACCAGGACAAACUCAGCAGUGUGUGAGGAAGAGGAGGAGGAAGAGCCAGCAGCAGCUGACAGAUGGAGAGAAUAGACAGACUGUUCCCUGGUUGUGAAGGACUGCUAGAAAAGUUUAAAAUAACUAAUUGUCUGUCCUGAAUCAGUCUUAUUAGGUAAUGUUCAAAUAAUGUUAUCAUUCCAGUGUUUUCAGUGUGGGAGAAAGUACUCAGGGCCUUCAAGUUACACACUAUGAAAGGCAGCAACAAGUUUAAUAUUCAG